AACGAACGCUGGCGGCAUGCCUAACACAUGCAAGUCGAACGAGACCUUCGGGUCUAGUGGCGCACGGGUGCGUAACGCGUGGGAACCUGCCCUUAGGUUCGGAAUAACUCCCCGAAAGGGGUGCUAAUACCGGAUAAUGUCUUCGGACCAAAGAUUUAUCGCCUUUGGAUGAGCCCGCGUUGGAUUAGCUAGUUGGUAGGGUAAAAGCCUACCAAGGCGACGAUCCAUAGCUGGUCUGAGAGGAUGAUCAGCCACACUGGGACUGAGACACGGCCCAGACUCCUACGGGAGGCAGCAGUGGGGAAUAGUGGACAAUGGGCGAAAGCCUGAUCCAGCAAUGCCGCGUGAGUGAUGAAGGCCUUAGGGUUGUAAAGCUCUUUUACCCGGGAUGAUAAUGACAGUACCGGGAGAAUAAGCUCCGGCUAACUCCGUG
rnacentral:rRNA from 1 species